rnacentral:rRNA from 1 species
GGUGUAGGCGGUCGGGCAAGUCGGAUGUGAAAGCCCUUGGCUCAACUGAGGAAGUGCAUUCGAAACUGCUCGACUUGAGUAUGGGAGAGGAAGGUGGAAUUCUCGGUGUAGCGGUGACAUGCGUAGAUAUCGGGAGGAACACCGGUGGCGAAGGCGGCCUUCUGGACCAAUACUGACGCUGAGACCCGAAAGCGUGGGGAGCAAACA